GUUUGGAUGGUCUAGGGGUAUGAUUCUCUAUUAGGGUCGCUCCCCAAGUCAUGAUUGCGUGAAGUCCCUGGUUCAAAUUCGGGUUCGGGCC